UCCACAUUGCAGACUCGGAGUUCACAGGGCCGGGGCUGCGGUCGCUGUGGAUCAGCCAGCCCCCCUGGGCUCCCCGCAGCCACUGUCCAGCCACCCCACCUCGGAGCAGCGUGAAGCUGGUUCUCUACCCAUUUUACAGCCAGCGAACAUUCCGCAUUGAUUUAUCGACUACCGUCUGCCGUCUGCCGUCUGCCGUGGAGGGAGCUGGGAAGAGACUGCCCUCCAGUCCAGCAUGGAUUUCCCCUCCUCCCUCCUCCUUUAUCCCGGUGCAAGCUGCCAGCUGAGGCAGGAAUUGGAGCAUGCAGCAGCCCAAAUGGCUGGUCCUGAGCAUGCCUGCUCCUGGAGUCGGCCAGGCCUGUCUGUCUUUUCCUUUUCCUUUUGUCCCAAACUGAACACCCAGCCUUCGCGCAUUCCUGUUCGGUCUGGGUGCAAGAGAGAAGCCUCCAGGGAACCUCCGCAGGAUGUGCGGGAUGUUUCGCACUCACUACCUCUAAGCCUGCUCAGACCGGCCCACAAGCCAUGUCCAGGACCCCGAGGUGCCCCACUGUCUUCAGAUGCAUCAGAAAGGAGCAACUCCAGCUGUGCUGGCCUGUGAGGAAGGCAUCCCAUUGAUCGGGACACAGAUCCUCAGCUCACAUUUUCUUCUCAAAUAUCUUUUCUCAAACAAUAAUAAUUUGUUUUUCCUGAAAUAAACGAAUCAUUCUCCUUAAGAGCAAAAUUUCCUGAGCAGAAAAACUGGGGCUCUAAUGCCUGCAUAUGCAGCUCGGAGCUGCAGGAAUCGCUCUUGGUGUAAGAGCAACCCCAGCUCGACCGAACUCAAAUUUCACCUCCCUUCCUGAAGCCCCCUUGUUCCUGGCAGCCGCCGGCUCCCCAAGAGAUCAGCUUGACCAGCGAGACCUUGGUUCUGUGUUUCCAUCUGCUGACUAAUCAGAGAAAAGCAUAGCAGAUUUUCAAGCAGUUUUAAAUUACCUCUAUGUAACAAUUUUUAAAAUUUAAUUAACCUCAAUCCAGUAGCAAGUGAUCAAAAUAAGGAAAGAAAAUUAAAAUAAAAAUAUUUAAAUGUAAAUUCAGGCAGGUUACCAUUUUUAUCUAUCAAUUAGCAAAAAAAAAAAAAGGCAAUUCAUAAAAUUAUUGAAAUGAAUGCCUGGUAAGCAGUGUAAAUUGGUAAAGCCAUUUCAGAAACUAAUCAAAUAUCAUAGACCAAUAGUCUCAAAUGUACACUAUUUACACUCAGCCUUUUGAUCUAAAGAAAUAAUUUUAGCAUAUGUGCUGCUGAAGCAAGUGAGAAAAGAAAUAAUUUUAAAUAAUGAAAACAUAUUUAUGUUUAAAGAAGUUCAAUGCAGCAAUACAGGAAAAUACCACCAAGAAGAGAGGAAACGAUCUAAUUUUCAAAAUUCUGGAAUGAUUAAGUUGUACAUUUGCUCAGUGUAAUGGGCCAUUAUGAAACAUGAGGGGCUGUAAAAAUAUGUAACGAGGUGAAAUUUCUCCAGUAUAAUAAAAAGUAGAGGGGAUGACCAAGUAUAUCCAUGUGUACAAUUAUUACUAGUUGGAAAGAAUGAGCACAGAGAAUAUAUACUGGAAGAAGUUUCUGUAAAUGCCAAUAAUAUCAUCAGAAUGGUGUUA